rnacentral:rRNA from 1 species
GAUGAACGCUGGCGGCGUGCCUAACACAUGCAAGUCGAGCGAAAAGACGAGGAUUUUGCUCCGCUCACGUGUGCGGAGCGCGUGUGAAUAACACGUGUAUAACUUACCUAUAAUACUGGGAUAACUUCGAAAAAGCGGAUCUAAUACCGGAUAAUAUAUUGAAGCUUAGGGGUCGUUGGUGAAUGUCGGUUCUUCUGUCUCUUAUCUAGGGAUGUGAGCCGCAUUAGCUAGUUGGUGAGGUAACGGCUUACCAAGGCAAUGAUGCGUAGCCGAACUAAGAGGGGGAUCGGCCACACGGGAGCGUGGACAAGCACCAGACGACUAAGGGAGGCAGCAGUCGGGAACGUUCGGCAGUGGGCGGAAGCAUGACGGAGAAAGGCCGCGUGAGUGAUGAAGGUCUUCGGAUCGUAAAGCUCUGUUAUUAGGGAAGAACCAAUGUGUAAGUAAAUAUGCACGUCUUGACGGUACCUAAUAAAAAAGCCCCGGCUAACUACGUG